rnacentral:rRNA from 1 species
GACGUAGGGCGCGAGCGUUGUCCGGAUUUAUUGGGCGUAAAGAGCUCGUAGGCGGCUCGUCGCGUCGACUGUGAAAACCCGUGGCUCAACCAUGUGGUCUGCAGUCGAUACGGGCAGGCUAGAAUUCGGUAGGGGAGACUGGAAUUCCUGGUGUAGCGGUGAAAUGCGCAGAUAUCAGGAGGAACACCGGUGGCGAAGGCGGGUCUCUGGGCCGAUAUUGACGCUGAGGAGCGAAAGCGUGGGGAGCGAACAGG